ACCCGCUGAACUUAAGCAUAUCAAUAAGCGGAGGAAAAGAAACCAACAGGGAUUACCUCAGUAACGGCGAGUGAAGCGGUAACAGCUCAAAUUUGAAAUCUGGGUCUUUCAGGCUCCGAGUUGUAAUUUGUAGAAGAUGCUUCGGGUGCGGCUCCGGUCUAAGUUCCUUGGAACAGGACGUCAUAGAGGGUGAGAAUCCCGUAUGUGAUCGGUUGCUUGCGCCCAUGUGAAGCUCUUUCGACGAGUCGAGUUGUUUGGGAAUGCAGCUCAAAAUGGGUGGUAAAUAUCAUCUAAAGCUAAAUAUAGGCCAGAGACCGAUAGCGCACAAGUAGAGUGAUCGAAAGAUGAAAAGCACUUUGGAAAGAGAGUUAAACAGUACGUGAAAUUGUUGAAAGGGAAGCGCUUGCAACCAGACUUGCGCGUUGCCGAUCAUCUGGGGUUCUCCCCAGUGCACUCGGCCUCGCUCAGGCCAGCAUCGGUUUCGGUGGUGGGAUAAAGGCCUUGGGAAUGUAGCUUCUUUCGGGGAGUGUUAUAGCCCUCGGUGCUAUGCCGCCUACCGGGACCGAGGACCGCGCUUCGGCUAGGAUGCUGGCGUAAUGGUUGUAAGCGACCCGUCUUGAAACACGGACCAAGGAGUCUAACAUCUAUGCGAGUGUUUGGGUGUCAUACCCAUACGCGUAAUGAAAGUGAACGGAGGUGAGAACCCUUAAGGGUGCAUCAUCGACCGAUCCUGAUGUCUUCGGAUGGAUUUGAGUAAGAGCAUAGCUGUUGGGACCCGAAAGAUGGUGAACUAUGCCUGAAUAGGGUGAAGCCAGAGGAAACUCUGGUGGAGGCUCGCAGCGGUUCUGACGUGCAAAUCGAUCGUCAAAUUUGGGUAUAGGGGCGAAAGACUAAUCGAACCAUCUAGUAGCUGGUUCCUGCCGAAGUUUCCCUCAGGA
rnacentral:rRNA from 1 species